CUUCCCAUGGCAGCUUCCCACCUUCUCGUUAACAAGCACCAGACACUCUCCUUCGACCCCCUCUUGGCUGCCAAUCUCCGGUCCCACUUAUGGCAGUUAUCAUUCUAGAAGUAGUUAAUGUAGUGGUUAUUAUAGCAUGUAGUGGCAUGUAGUGGUUAUCAUAUUAACUUCAAUGUAGUGGUUAUUAUGUUAACUUCCAAGUUGCAUGUAUUUAAAAAGGCAACAGUGCACUGAAUAAAGGUAGAGAAAAUUCACCAAGCUUGCUUUUGUUUUCCUUCUUUCC
rnacentral:misc_RNA from 1 species